rnacentral:rRNA from 1 species
AGCGAACGCUGGCGGCAGGCCUAACACAUGCAAGUCGAACGAACUCUUCGGAGUUAGUGGCGGACGGGUGAGUAACACGUGGGAACGUGCCUUUUGGUUCGGGAUAACUCAUGGAAACUUGUGCUAAUACCGAAUGUGCCCUUCUGGGGAAAGAUUUAUCGCCAUUGGAGCGGCCCGCGUCUGAUUAGCUAGUUGGUGAGGUAACGGCUCACAAAGGCGACGAUCAGUAGCUGGUCUGAGAGGAUGACCAGCCACACUGGGACUGAGACACGGCCCAGACUCCUACGGGAGGCAGCAGUGGGGAAUCUUGCGCAAUGGGCGAAAGCCUGACGCAGCCAUGCCGCGUGAAUGAUGAAGGUCUUAGGAUUGUAAAAUUCUUUAACCGGGGACGAUACUGACGGUACCCGGAGAAGAAGCCCCGGCUAACUUCGUG